rnacentral:tRNA from 1 species
UGUAGCUCAGUGGUAGAGUGCUUGCCUUGCACGCAUGAAGUCCUGGGUUUGAUCCUCAGCA